AAAAGAACGCUGGCGGCGUGCUUAAACAUGCAGUACUAGGUGAAAAGGGAGCUUGCUCUGUGGGAUCAGUUGCGAACGGGUGAGUAACACGUGAGCAACCUGCCCCUGACUCUGGGAUAAGCGCUGGAAACGGCGUCUAAUACUGGAUAUGUGACGUGACCGCAUGGUCUGCGUUUGGAAAGAUUUUUCGGUUGGGGAUGGGCUCGCGGCCUAUCAGCUUGUUGGUGAGGUAAUGGCUCACCAAGGCGUCGACGGGUAGCCGGCCUGAGAGGGUGACCGGCCACACUGGGACUGAGACACGGCCCAAACUCCUACGGGAGGCAGCAGUGGGGAAUAUUGCACAAUGGGCGAAAGCCUGAUGCAGCAACGCCGCGUGAGGGAUGACGGCCUUCGGGUUGUAAACCUCUUUUAGCAGGGAAGAAGCGAAAGUGACGGUACCUGCAGAAAAAGCGCCGGCUAACUACGUGCCAGCAGCCGCGGUAAUACGUAGGGCGCAAGCGUUAUCCGGAAUUAUUGGGCGUAAAGAGCUCGUAGGCGGUUUGUCGCGUCUGCUGUGAAAUCCCGAGGCUCAACCUCGGGCCUGCAGUGGGUACGGGCAGACUAAAGUGCGGUAGGGGAGAUUGGAAUUCCUGGUGUAGCGUGGAAUGCGCAAUAUCAGAGGAACACGAUGGCGAAGGCAGAUCUCUGGGCCGUACUGACGCUGAGGAGCGAAAGGGUGGGGAGCAAACAGGCUUAAUACCUGGUAGUCCCCCCGAAACUUGGAACUAGUUGUGGGGUCCAUUCCCGGAUUCCGUGCACACUACGCAUAAUUCCCGCCUGGGGAGACGCCCAAGUUAAACCCAAGAAUUAAGGGACCCCCCAGCGGGGGACUUCGAUUAUUCCAGCAACCGAAAACUUACCAGGUUGUAAUAUCAGAACGGGCAAGGUACCUUUUUGAACUUUACCGGGGGUGUUGCCCCCUGGUCGGAAAGUUGUAAAC
rnacentral:rRNA from 1 species